rnacentral:rRNA from 1 species
AACGAACGCUGGCGGCAUGCCUAACACAUGCAAGUCGAACGAGACCUUCGGGUCUAGUGGCGCACGGGUGCGUAACGCGUGGGAAUCUGCCCUUGGGUUCGGGAUAACAGUUGGAAACGACUGCUAAUACCGGAUGAUGACUUCGGUCCAAAGAUUUAUCGCCCAGGGAUGAGCCCGCGUCGGAUUAGCUAGUUGGUGGG